rnacentral:rRNA from 1 species
UACGGAGGGUGCAAGCGUUGUCCGGAUUUAUUGGGUUUAAAGGGUGCGUAGGUGGGCAAGUAAGUCAGUGGUGAAAUCUCCGGGCUUAACCCGGAAACUGCCAUUGAUACUAUUUGUCUUGAAUACUGCGGAGGUCAGCGGAAUAUGUCAUGUAGCGGUGAAAUGCUUAGAUAUGACAUAGAACACCAAUUGCGAAGGCAGCUGGCUACACAAAUAUUGACACUGAGGCACGAAAGCGUGGGGAUCAAACAGG